AAAUGCAAACCUCAAAUACAAAACCCUUGGAGAUGCUCUAAGCUAAGCUGAAAAAAUACCAAUUUAAAUUAUCUAAGUUCUAGAACCCACGUUACAGAGAUUAUCAGGCUAUACAGGUACUCACUGUUUUUUCAGUGAUCUGGCAGAGGCUAGAAUACCUUAUUUUGUAGCAAGUCUGACCAACCGCACCAUGGGUGAACCCGUUCUUAUCCAUCAAGCGCAGGUGCAUGCAGCAGUCAUUCGGGUUACCAUAAGAGCACUCAC
rnacentral:lncRNA from 1 species